CGGACGGGUGAGUAAUGUCUGGGAAACUGCCUGAUGGAGGGGGAUAACUACUGGAAACGGUAGCUAAUACCGCAUAACGUCGCAAGACCAAAGAGGGGGACCUUCGGGCCUCUUGCCAUCGGAUGUGCCCAGAUGGGAUUAGCUAGUAGGUGGGGUAACGGCUCACCUAGGCGACGAUCCCUAGCUGGUCUGAGAGGAUGACCAGCCACACUGGAACUGAGACACGGUCCAGACUCCUACGGGAGGCAGCAGUGGGGAAUAUUGCACAAUGGGCGCAAGCCUGAUGCAGCCAUGCCGCGUGUAUGAAGAAGGCCUUCGGGUUGUAAAGUACUUUCAGCGGGGAGGAAGGGAGUAAAGUUAAUACCUUUGCUCAUUGACGUUACCCGCAGAAGAAGCACCGGCUAACUCCGUGCCAGCAGCCGCGGUAAUACGGAGGGUGCAAGCGUUAAUCGGAAUUACUGGGCGUAAAGCGCACGCAGGCGGUUUGUUAAGUCAGAUGUGAAAUCCCCGGGCUCAACCUGGGAACUGCAUCUGAUACUGGCAAGCUUGAGUCUCGUAGAGGGGGGUAGAAUUCCAGGUGUAGCGGUGAAAUGCGUAGAGAUCUGGAGGAAUACCGGUGGCGAAGGCGGCCCCCUGGACGAAGACUGACGCUCAGGUGCGAAAGCGUGGGGAGCAAACAGGAUU
rnacentral:rRNA from 1 species